GAAAUGCGAUACGUAAUGUGAAUUGCAGAAUUCAGUGAAUCAUCGAAUCUUUGAACGCAUAUUGCGCUCUUUGGUAUUCCGAAGAGCAUGCUUGUUUGAGUAUCAGUAAACACCUCAAAGCUUUUGGAUUUUUUUUGAAAGCUUUGGACUUGAGCAAUCCCAACACCAAUCUUUUUCAGAUCGGCGGCGGGUUACUUGAAAUGCAGGUGCAGCUGGACUUUUCUCUGAGCUAUAAGCAUAUCUAUUUAGUCUGCCUAAAAAACAGAUUAUUACCUUUGCUGCAGCUAACAUAAAGGAGAUUAGUUCUUGUGCUGACUGAUGCAGGAUUCACAAAGACAGGCUUCGGCCGACUUUGUAAACUCGAUCUCAAAUCAAGUAAGACUACCCGCUGAACUUAA
rnacentral:misc_RNA from 1 species